GAAUUUAGCGCAGUUGCUUGCAACGCGUGACCCCACUCUACACUGUGCACUCAUUGGCGGAGAGAAAAAUUGGUACUUGUACCGAUUCAACUUUCUGCGGCUUACUUUAAACACUAGUCAAAGUAUGUAACAAAAUAUCGAAAUAAAAAAAAACUUUCAACAACGGAUCUCUUGGCUCU
rnacentral:misc_RNA from 1 species